rnacentral:rRNA from 1 species
GAGUUCCCUUCGGGGACAUUGGUGACAGGUGGUGCAUGGUUGUCGUCAGCUCGUGUCGUGAGAUGUUGGGUUAAGUCCCGCAACGAGCGCAACCCUUGUCUUUAGUUGCCAUCAUUAAGUUGGGCACUCUAGAGAGACUGCCAGGGAUAACCUGGAGGAAGGUGGGGAUGACGUCAAAUCAUCAUGCCCCUUAUGCUUAGGGCUACACACGUGCUACAAUGGGUAGUACAGAGGGUUGCCAAGCCGUAAGGUGGAGCUAAUCCCUUAAAGCUACUCUCAGUUCGGAUUGUAGGCUGAAACUCGCCUACAUGAAGCUGGAGUUACUAGUAAUCGCAGAUCAGAAUGCUGCGGUGAAUGCGUUCCCGGGUCUUGUACACACCGCCCGUCACACCACGGGAGUUGGAGACGCCCGAAGCCGAUUAUCUAACCUUUUGGAAGAAGUCGUCGAAGGUGGAAUCAAUAACUGGGGUGAAGUCGUAACAAGGUAGCCGUAUCGGAAGGUGCGGCUGGAUC